AUUCAGAAGCAGUAGAAUGGAUACGAAGUAGCUGAUCUCCAAGAACAAUAACUGAAUGUUGCUUUUGAAUCAAGAGCAUUAUUUACUCAAAAGCGAUGUAGAUUAUAUUCAGAAGCUGUAGAAUGGAUACAAAGUAGCUGAUCUCCAAGAAUCAUAACCAAAUGUUGCUUUGAAUCAAGAGCAUUAUAUUUACUCAAAGAUUAUUCAGAAGCUGUAGAAUGGAUACGAAGUAGCUGAUCUCCAAGAAUCAUAACUGAAUGUUGCUUUGAAUCAAGAGCAUUAUUUACUCAAAAGAUUAUUCAGAAGCUGUAGAAUGGAUACGAAGUAGCUGAGAACUCCAAGAAUCAUAACUGAAUGUUGCUUUUGAAUCAAGAGCCAGUUGGUGGUUAACCUUGUCGGUUUGGUUUUCCCCCCCUUUCUACUUUUUCAUUAUUUGUAGUUUGCCAUGUGGUCAGAAAUAAAACGAGGCCACCAUCUGUACUAUUUUGUUAGGUAUCUUCAUGUGUUCAUGAUUCCGUUCUCAUUCAAAAACCAAAACAAACAAAAAACUUUGCGGGCUCUAAAGAUGAAACG